AACUUUCAACAAAGGAUCUCUUGGCUCUCGCAUCGAUGAAGAACGCAGCGAAGCGCGAAAUGUAGUGUGAAUCGCAGAACAUUGUGAAUCAUCGAAUCUUUGAACGCACAUUGCGCCUCUCUUAACAGGGAGGCAUGCCUGUCUGAGUCUCAUUU
rnacentral:rRNA from 1 species